GGUGGUCAAAGGACUGCUUUAUUUGUGGGAGCUGAAAAUUAUGCACAGAGAUGUGAAGCCCUCGAAUAUUUUAGUAAGCACAAGAGUUCAAGUAAAAUUAUGUGACUUUGGUGUCAGUCGACAGCUGGUCAAUUCAAUUGCUACAACUUACGUUGGAACUCAUGCUUACAUGGCGCCUGAACGCAUACAAGGAGAUGAAUACAGCAUUCGUUCGGAACUCUGGAGUCUUG